UAUCUAUCAAUAAACCAAUAUAUUUUAUAAUAGACUAUGAUUGUAUGAUUGCAGGGUAUAAAAAAAUAACUAAUUGAAAAUUGAAUAAUAAUUUUUAUUCAAUUAUAUACUAAAAAUAUUUUUAGAAAUGUAAUUAUUACAUUAUUAUAAAAUAUUUUAUGUAUGAUAAAUGUAUGUCAUUAUUUCAGUAACUGUCAUCAUCGAUAAUAAAGUUGGUAUAAAAGCCUAAUAAAUAAAUGCUUUGCUUGCCACAUAUUAUGAAAUUGUUUGAUAAUUAUUAUUUUAUAGGCGUUUUGGACACAACAAUAGUAUUUAGUUUAUUUAUUUAUUUUUAUUUAUUUAUUUUUGUUUAUCAUAACCAUCAUUAUUGGUAAUCGUAUUAUUAUGCAGUAUAAGCAUUUCAUUUUUUUUUUUUUAAAUAAUUUUAUUUUUAUAUUAUUAUAGGUAUAUUUAAAAACAGUGAACGAAUCAGUUGUCCAAAUGGAUGCGGUCGUACAUAUAAAAAUAAGAUAUCUCUGCAAUGUCAUUUGAGAAAUGAGUGUGGUACUCAACCAAAGUUUUUUUGUCCGUUUUGCGAUAAAAAAUGUUAUCAAAAAUCGAAUAUGAAAUCGCACAUUGUUCAAGUGCACAAGACCUUUUGCAAUAUAGAACCAAUUGCGCCAUUACCAUCAUUACGUGGUCGCAGAAAAUUUAAUAACUAAAUUAUCAAACGGUUAAAAUCUCAAAAACACUAUGUUUGAGGAUAUAAAAAAAGAAUAAUUUUUUGUCAACAGAAGACGUAUUCAUUUUCUCCGUACAAAACUGUGUACAGUUGUCAAAAUAUUAGCUGUGGAAGAAUCUAUCAGAACCGUGGUUCUUUGACCAGACAUUUGAAGUUUGAGUGUGGAAAGCAGCCAAAGUACUCAUGUACAAUAUGUGAAAAACGGUGUGCCCUUAAGUCUAAUUUAAAACAGCACAUGAUUGCUGUUCAUAAAACUAUGCCUAGCUCAUGAGAUUAUUUUUUUGUACUGUACUAAUAAUAUUUUCACACGUUCUCAACUAUAACUAGCAUAAUACGCUAAUGUCACUUUUUAAACAUGUACAAUUUUGAAUCAUACAAUAAUGUCUAUUAUAUCUAUUACCAAAUAAUAGUUUAAUACAGAUUUAUAAUUUAUAUGUUUGUGUUUUAAUGUCAAAACCCAAUGUGUAAAUUUGUAUGUUCAUAAUUACUAAAUUUUUAAUCGAAA